rnacentral:rRNA from 1 species
GACGAACGCUGGCGGCGUGCUUAACACAUGCAAGUCGAACGGAAAGUCCCUGCUUGCAGGGUCCUCGAUUGGUGAACGGGUGAGUAACACGUUGGUGAUCUGCCCUACACUUCGGGAUAAGCCUUGGAAACUGGGUCUAAUACCGGAUAGGAGCCAUUUUUCGUGUGGUUGUUGGCAAGUUUUUUCGGUGUAGGAUGAGCUCGCGGCCUAUCAGCUUGUUGGUGGGGUAAUGGUCUACCAAGGCUGCGCCGCGUAGCCGGCCUGGGAGGGUGGACGGCAACAGUGAGACUGGGAUAGGGACCAGACCCAGACGGGAGGGAGCAGUGGGGAAGAUUACACAAUGGGAGCAAGCCUGAUGCAGAGACGCCGCGGGGGGGAUGACGGCCAACGGGUUGUAAACUCAAUGCGCUAGGAACGAAGAUGAUAGUGACGGUACCUAGAUAAGAAGCACCGGCUAACUACGUG